rnacentral:tRNA from 1 species
GCCUGACUGGCUCAGUCAGGGGAGUAUGUGACUCUUGAUCUCAGGGUCAUGAGUUCAAGCCCCAUGUUGGGCG